UACGUAGGGUGCAAGCGUUAAUCGGAAUACUGGGCGUAAAGCGUGCGCAGGCGGUUUUGUAAGUCUGUCGUGAAAUCCCCGGGCUCCAACCCGGGAACUGCGUCCGAUACUGGGAGGCUUGAAUCCGGGAGAGGGAUGUGGAAAUUCCAGGUGUAGCGGUGAAAUGCGUAGAUAUCAGGGAGGAACACCGGUGGCGAAGGCGGGUCUCUGGGCCGAUACUGACGCUGAGGAGCGAAAGCGUGGGGAGCGAACAGG
rnacentral:rRNA from 1 species